UACGAAGGGGGCUAGCGUUGCUCGGAAUCACUGGGCGUAAAGCGCACGUAGGCGGAUCUUUAAGUCAGGGGUGAAAUCCUGGAGCUCAACUCCAGAACUGCCUUUGAUACUGAAGAUCUUGAGUUCGGGAGAGGUGAGUGGAACUGCGAGUGUAGAGGUGAAAUUCGUAGAUAUUCGCAAGAACACCAGUGGCGAAGGCGGCUCACUGGCCCGAUACUGACGCUGAGGCACGAAGCGUGGGAGCAACAGG
rnacentral:rRNA from 1 species